GAUGAACGCUGGCGGCGUGCCUAAUACAUGCAAGUCGAGCGAAGCGGGGGCGGGUGAGUAACACGUGGCUAACCUCCUAUAAGACUGGGAUAACUUCAGGCAACCGGAGCUAAACCGUAUACUUCUAGAUGGAUCCGCGCGGCAUUCGCUAUUUGGUAAGGUAACGGCUUACCAAGGCAACGAUGCAUAGCCGACCUGAGAGGGUGAUCGGCCAGACGGGAACUGAGACACGGUCCAGACGCCCACGGGAGGCAGCAGUAGGGAAUCUGCCGGAAUGGGCGAAAGCCUGACGGAGCAACGGCGCGUGAGUGAUGAAGGUCUUCGGAUCGUAAAACUCUGGUAUUAGGGAAGCGGUACCUAAUCAGAAAGCCACGGCUAACUACGUGCCAGCAGCCGCGGUAAUAC
rnacentral:rRNA from 1 species